rnacentral:rRNA from 1 species
CAGCCGCCACGGGUAAUACGGAGGAUCCAAGCGUUAUCCGGAAUCAUUGGGUUUAAAGGGUCCGUAGGCGGUCUUGUAAGUCAGUGGUGAAAGCCCAUCGCUCAACGGUGGAACGGCCAUUGAUACUGCAGGACUUGAAUUAUUGGGAAGUAACUAGAAUAUGUAGUGUAGCGGUGAAAUGCUUAGAGAUUACAUGGAAUACCAAUUGCGAAGGCAGGUUACUACCAAUUGAUUGACGCUGAUGGACGAAAGCGUGGGUAGCGAACAGGAUUAGAUACCCGCGUAGUCCCUGUCUCUUAUA